AUGCCCGUCAUGGAGAGAGGAAGCAAGCAACCUCUGCUGUUCCUGAUUCUGCUAGGGGAUCUGGGGCCAGCAGACGCCCCGCACAGUGGCUUUUGGAGAAGUUGCCAGCUGUUGGAUCCAAUGAAUGCAUGUCGUGGUUGGUUCCAAAGGGCUCCCCGGCCCCCGGGGACAAGUUGGCUGGGGAGCCAAUUGGCCCUCCUCGGUGCUGGGCGACUCUGGCAUACCGCUCAGCCACUCAGACUUGAAUGCCACCACGUGAAGACGUCUCUUCUGGGUCCCUUCUCCCUGUGGUUCCCUGUGGUAUUGGGCAAAUGGCCGAAGGGUCCCGGAGCCAGUAGAGUACUGUUCCUUUGGGCCACAGACCCUCGAUGGGAGAGAUUGGACCUGACUGAGGAAAGCACCAGCAGAAAUAAAGCAGCGAAAAUUCAGGACCCGGGCACUGUGGGCAAACAGGAGGGCAGGUUAAUGAGGCCUAGUAGGCCCUUUUCAACUCAGAGUUAAAAAAAAAAAAAAAAUUUAUGUUUAUUUAUUUUUUGAGAGAGAGAGAGAGAAAGAGACAGAGCAUGAGCAGGGGAGGGGCAGAGAGAGAGGGAGACACAGAAUCCGAAGCAGGCUGCAGGUUCCGAGCUGUCAGCACAGAGCCCGACGCGGGGCUAGAACUCACGGACUGUGACAUCAUGACCCGAGCCGAAGCUGGAUGCCCAACCGACUGA
rnacentral:lncRNA from 1 species